rnacentral:rRNA from 1 species
GAUGAACGCUGGCGGCGUGCCUAAUACAUGCAAGUCGAGCGAACAGAUGAGGAGCUUGCUCCUCUGACGUUAGCGGCGGACGGGUGAGUAACACGUGGAUAACCUACCUAUAAGACUGGGAUAACUUCGGGAAACCGGAGCUAAUACCGGAUAAUAUAUUGAACCGCAUGGUUCAAUAGUGAAAGACGGUUUUGCUGUCACUUAUAGAUGGAUCCGCGCCGCAUUAGCUAGUUGGUAAGGUAACGGCUUACCAAGGCAACGAUGCGUAGGCGACCUGAGAGGGUGAUCGGCCACACUGGAACUGAGACACGGUCCAGGCUCCUACGGGAGGCAGCAGUAGGGAAUCUUACGCAAUGGGCGAAAGCCUGACGGAGCAACGCCGCGUGAGUGAUGAAGGUCUUCGGAUCGUAAAACUCUGUUAUUAGGGAAGAACAAAUGUGUAAGUAACUAUGCACGUCUUGACGGUACCUAAUCAGAAAGCCACGGCUAACUACGUG